rnacentral:rRNA from 1 species
AAGUCAGUUGUGAAAGUUUGCGGCUCAACCGUAAAAUUGCAGUUGAUACUGUCAGUCUUGAGUACAGUAGAGGUGGGCGGAAUUCGUGGUGUAGCGGUGAAAUGCUUAGAUAUCACGAAGAACUCCGAUUGCGAAGGCAGCUCACUGGACUGCAACUGACACUGAUGCUCGAAAGUGUGGGUAUCAAACAGGAUUAGAUACCCUGGUAGUCCACACAGUAAACGAUGAAUACUCGCUGUUUGCGAUAUACAGUAAGCGGCCAAGCGAAAGCAUUAAGUAUUCCACCUGGGGAGUACGCCGGCAACGGUGAAACUCAAAGGAAUUGACGGGGGCCCGCACAAGCGGAGGAACAUGUGGUUUAAUUCGAUGAUACGCGAGGAACCUUACCCGGGCUUAAAUUGCAGUGGAAUGAUGUGGAAACAUGUCAGUGAGCAAUCACCGCUGUGAAGGUGCUGCAUGGUUGUCGUCAGCUCGUGCCGUGAGGUGUCGGCUUAAGUGCCAUAACGAGCGCAACCCUUAUCUUUAGUUACUAACAGGUUAUGCUGAGGACUCUAGAGAGACUGCCGUCGUAAGAUGUGAGGAAGGUGGGGAUGACGUCAAAUCAGCACGGCCCUUACGUCCGGGGCUACACACGUGUUACAAUGGGGGGUACAGAAGGCAGCUAGCGGGUGACCGUAUGCUAAUCCCAAAAUCCUCUCUCAGUUCGGAUCGAAGUCUGCAACCCGACUUCGUGAAGCUGGAUUCGCUAGUAAUCGCGCAUCAGCCACGGCGCGGUGAAUACGUUCCCGGGCCUUGUACACACCGCCCGUCAAGCCAUGGGAGCCGGGGGUACCUGAAGUACGUAACCGCAAGGAUCGUCCUAGGGUAAAACUGGUGACUGGGGCUAAG